rnacentral:lncRNA from 10 species
CUUGUAACUUCUAUGUGGUCACUUCAGACCUGCAGAGCAGGCAGGUGAGGUGAAAGAGGCUGUUUGAGAGUCCGAGCCUGUUGUAGAGAGAUCAGUCCAGUGGUCCAGGUUCAGUGAGGAAAUGAUCUGGUAGUAGUUCUUCUGGAAGCAUUCUUCUUUGGAAAUUCUACAGGACAAUGAAAAGAGUGUGAUUCACCAGCUCUACUUGGUUCAUUGUGAUUUACAGUGGAGGAAGUUAUGUAAUUAGCCAUAUCCAGAAGAGGUAGAAGCCUCCAAUAUCCCAGGUGCUUCCCAAUGGCCUUGCGUGUGUGGUGGAUGUUCUCACAGGCAUUGGGGUGGGUCUCCCUCUGUCUGCUCUACUCUCCUCUGUUGUGGAGAGGUGAUUCGUGUAUUUCAAGAUUAUAAGAACAGCUCAGACAUGCUUAACUUACUAAGAAACUGGUAUUGGACUUUUCACACUUUCUCUGAGUUCAGAGCUGGG